AAGGGUGGCGUAGGCGGGUAGGUAAGUCAGUGGUGAAAUCCUGGAGCUCAACUCCAGAACUGCCAUUGAUACUAUCUAUCUUGAAUAUUGUGGAGGUAAGCGGAAUAUGUCAUGUAGCGGUGAAAUGCUUAGAUAUGACAUAGAACACCCAUUGCGAAGGCAGCUUACUACGCAUAUAUUGACGCUGAGGCACGAAAGCGUGGGGAUCAAACAGGAUUAGAUACCCUGGU
rnacentral:rRNA from 1 species